rnacentral:rRNA from 1 species
GACGAACGCUGGCGGCGUGCUUAACACAUGCAAGUCGAACGGAAAGGCCCCCUUGUGGGGUACUCGAGUGGCGAACGGGUGAGUAACACGUGAGUAACCUACCCUUGACUUUGGGAUAACUUCAGGAAACUGGGGCUAAUACCGGAUAGGAGCUCCUGCUGCAUGGUGGGGGUUGGAAAGUUUCGGCGGUUGGGGAUGGACUCGCGGCUUAUCAGCUUGUUGGUGGGGUAGUGGCUCACCAAGGCUUUGACGGGUAGCCGGCCUGAGAGGGUGACCGGCCACAUUGGGACUGAGAUACGGCCCAGACUCCUACGGGAGGCAGCAGUGGGGAAUAUUGCACAAUGGGCGGAAGCCUGAUGCAGCGACGCCGCGUGCGGGAUGACGGCCUUCGGGUUGUAAACCGCUUUCGCCUGUGACGAAGCGUGAGUGACGGUAAUGGGUAAAGAAGCACCGGCUAACUACGUG